rnacentral:piRNA from 1 species
UAGAGUGCCGAUUGGUGUAUUUACAAUCC